rnacentral:tRNA from 1 species
GUUGCCGUAGCUUACUCCCCACUAAAGCAUGACUCUGAAGCAGCCAAGAUGGAUACCACACUCCCGGAAACA